UACGUAGGGCGCAAGCGUUGUCCGGAAUUAUUGGGCGUAAAGAGCUCGUAGGUGGCUUGUCACGUCGGGUGUGAAAGCUUGGGGCUUAACUCCAGGUCUGCAUUCGAUACGGGCUGGCUAGAGGUAGGUAGGGGAGAACGGAAUUCCUGGUGUAGCGGUGAAAUGCGCAGAUAUCAGGAGGAACACCGGUGGCGAAGGCGGUUCUCUGGGCAUGUCCUGACGCUGAGGAGCGAAAGUGUGGGGAGCGAACAGG
rnacentral:rRNA from 1 species